UACGUAGGGGGGCAAGCGUUGUCCGGAAUCAUUGGGCGUAAAGAGCGUGUAGGCGGCCAGAAAAGUCCGCUGUGAAAACUCGAGGCUCAACUUCGAGCUGUCGGUGGAAACUUUCUGGCUAGAGUCCGGAAGAGGAGAAUGGAAUUCCUGGUGUAGCGGUGAAAUGCGCAGAUAUCAGGAAGAACACCCCGUGGCGAAGGCGGUUCUCUGGGACGUUACUGACGCUGAGACGCGAAAGCGUGGGGAGCAAACAGG
rnacentral:rRNA from 1 species